rnacentral:rRNA from 1 species
GUGGGGAAUCUUAGACAAUGGGGGAAACCCUGAUCUAGCCAUGCCGCGUGAUCGAUGAAGGCCUUCGGGUCGUAAAGCUCUGUCAUCGGGGACGAAUGGUCGAUGGAGUGGAAAGCCAUUGAAAUGACGGUACCCGAGAAGGAAGCCACGGCUAACUACGUGCCAGCAGCCGCGGUAAUACGUAGGUGGCAAGCGUUGUCCGGAAUUAUUGGGCGUAAAGCGCGCGCAGGUGGGAGCUUAAGUCUAUUUUGAAAGUUCGGAGCUUAACUCCGUGAUGAGAUAGUAACUGGGAUUCUUGAGUACCGGAGAGGAAAGCGGAAUUCCCCGUGUAGCGGUGAAAUGCGUAGAUAUGGGGAGGAACACCAGUGGCGAAGGCGGCUUUCUGGACGGUGUCUGACACUGAGGCGCGAAAGCCAGGGGAGCGAACGGGAUUAGAUACCCGAGUAGUCC